rnacentral:rRNA from 1 species
UACAGAGGGUGCAAGCGUUGUUCGGAAUUAUUGGGCGUAAAGCGCGUGUAGGCGGCUUUGCAAGUCGGGUGUGAAAGCCCUCAGCUUAACUGAGGAAGGGCGCCCGAAACUGCAGAGCUUGAGUACCGGAGAGGGUGGCGGAAUUCCCCAAGUAGAGGUGAAAUUCGUAGAUAUGGGGAGGAACACCGGUGGCGAAGGCGGCCACCUGGACGGAUACUGACGCUGAGACGCGAAAGCGUGGGUAGCAAACAGG